rnacentral:rRNA from 1 species
GAUGAACGCUGGCGGCGUGUUUAACACAUGCAAGUCGAACGAAGCGCUUAAACGGAUUUCUUCGGAUUGAAGUUUUUGCGACUGAGUGGCGGACGGGUGAGUAACGCGUGGGUAACCUGCCUCAUACAGGGGGAUAACAGUUAGAAAUGACUGCUAAUACCGCAUAAGCGCACAGUGCUGCAUGGCACAGUGCGGAAAACUCCGGUGGUAUGAGAUGGACCCGCGUCUGAUUAGCUAGUUGGUGGGGUAACGGCCUACCAAGGCGACGAUCAGUAGCCGGCCUGAGAGGGUGAACGGCCACAUUGGGACUGAGACACGGCCCAAACUCCUACGGGAGGCAGCAGUGGGGAAUAUUGCACAAUGGGGGAAACCCUGAUGCAGCGACGCCGCGUGAGCGAAGAAGUAUUUCGGUAUGUAAAGCUCUAUCAGCAGGGAAGAAAAUGACGGUACCUGACUAAGAAGCACCGGCUAAAUACGUGCCAGCAGCCGCGGUAAUACGUAUGGUGCAAGCGUUAUCCGGAUUUACUGGGUGUAAAGGGAGCGUAGACGGUUGUGUAAGUCUGAUGUGAAAGCCCGGGGCUCAACCCCGGGACUGCAUUGGAAACUAUGUAACUAGAGUGUCGGAGAGGUAAGCGGAAUUCCUAGUGUAGCGGUGAAAUGCGUAGAUAUUAGGAGGAACACCAGUGGCGAAGGCGGCUUACUGGACGAUCACUGACGUUGAGGCUCGAAAGCGUGGGGAGCAAACAGG